CCCCCCCCCCCGGCUCUGGUCUUCACUGGGAGCCAGGGCUUGCCUGGGUCACUGCGAGGACCAUCCUCAAGAUGUCGGUACUUCCUCAGCAAGUCGGGGGCUCAAGGAGACAGUGCUCAACUUGAGGACACUGAGGAGACUUCCUGACCAUAAACAAGGCUCCGAAACCGCCCUCGGUCCAACGCUGCCUGGUGGCUGCAAGAGCUUGCACGAAGGGUCAGAACGGAUAUCUGAGGGGCAGAAUAUUUUGAGAGAGCUCUGGAUUUUACGUUGCAGCAAUACUUCCUUCCCUCUCCCCCCUUCCCCUAAGUCCUGCCCUGCACUGGUUUCUCUCUUGUGCCCCUUGUUCUUCUCGCCUCCCCAGCUCUUUCCCGUGGCCAGGAAUUUCCCAGCCCCUCCUGCCUUGCUGUUCAGACCGAUUAAAACACAGAGAACAACUUCUUUACAACCAACCUUCGUUACAAACAACCUGUGCUGCAGUAUCUUUGGUGGAAUGACCAUUUCCAAUGUCUGCCUGACGGAAACCAGGACUGAGGCUGCACCUUAUCCUCUCAGCGCAGUAAUUGAACAGCAACUGGCCUCAGUUAAUAUUAUUUUUCAAUAAGUCUUGAAAUGAACCAGACACAGUUCUGCUAAUUAAGGUGAAAAAGCAGCUCAUCCAAGAAAUGGAAGCAAUGUUCUCAGCAAGCAAUUCCAAAGAUAUAUCUAUUUGUUAUACUCUGCGUGUUUAUUAUUAUCCCCAGGAGGUUGUACAGGAUAGAAGUGGAAGAACUUCUAAUGCUGUCUUUAAUUUCCGUGGCAUCUUUUCAUAUCAGCAAACUCCAUCCAACUCUGCCAAAUGAAAGUAGCUAAAUUUCAGGAGAGCAGUGGUGAAUACUUGUCACAGGGUUAAAUCUGCAUUCAAGACGGCAUCAUCUCCAGGCCUCCAGCAUAUGGCACAGAGUAAAGGGGACACAGUAGGGGAGAUCAUGUCCUUCACUAAUGGGAAUAUUCACUUGGGAAGGAGGAGAAGAAAAUAACCCAGUAAUAAGGUCAUCGUUCUCCUGACGGCCCCAUGGGAAAGUCAAGUAGUACUAAGACUGAACUAAUUUUCCUGCUGAGCGUGACAGGCAUGUGGACUCCUCUUCACAUGGAAGCAAAAGCAGCAGGCUGCCAACAGUAGAAGCAGCUCGAAUCCCUUCAGAAAACACUAGAAAUCCCAGGAGAAUAGUCUGCGAAAAGUCUUGAGUCCUUUGGGCAAAUGGUCCUGUGGGAAUUCCCAAGGCACGUAUUUCGAGAUGAUUGUUGCAUGAAGCUGGGACAUAAUUUAGUUCCUAGUUUAUCCCAGCAUUACCAAAAGAUGAAACGUUGCACCAUAACUGUUGAGAACUGCAUUUCUCUUGUGAUGCAAUCCUUAGAGAAGUGGAAAUAAAUACACUGCUGCCUCGGCAUGGUUCCUUCUUCAGGACAACUGCAUCACCACCUCCAAGAAAUGGGCCCGAGCACUGAAACAAUUGACACUAGAAAGAGCUACUAAAAUUUGCAGAAGGACAGAGAUUUGUUUACUCUGAUAAAAGGGUCACAUUCCUGGAAACCCUUCAUCCUAUACGCUCAGUUGCAUAGCAAAGGAACAGCCCAGAGUUAGAACUAGGGCAGUGGGAACAUAAUCUCCUCCACACCAUUGGAGUUAAGAGACGUGAAGGUAUGAAAGGAAUGGAAAUGGUGCCAAGGAGUAGCGCCAACACAUUCCAACACAGGACUUUGGGUGUAAAUAUUCCAAUCAGCCCGUAAUAGAGUUGAUUUUUAAUUUUUUUAAAAUAUUAAUUAAAUGAAGCAGAAACUCAGAACGUUUUACCUAAUCACUACGUCCACUGUGGUGGCCCGGCGGAGUGGCCGAUGGAAAAAGCAGCAGAGCCUCAGCCCAGAGAGACGUGAGUAACCUCUGGGCCAGCAGAAAGCCCUGAGGUACAGGUGGGAAAAGUGGCAGAUCCUGCACGUGGGUCAGGAAAAGCCCCUGCCCUUGUACAGGCUGGGAAGCUGCUGGGUGAGGAACAGCCCUGCCGGAAAGAACCUGGGGAUUACAGCAGAUGCCAGGUUGAGCAUGAGCCAACAGCGUGCUCUUGUCUUCAGGAAGGCAAACCACAGCCUGGGCUACAUUAGGAUGAGGGAAACUAUUCCCUCCUUCUUCUUAUGAGACCUGGAGGCUGCAAUACGUGCAGGACCCUCCCGCACCUCAAGAAGGACAUAGAGACACCAGAGAGGACCCAGUGAAAAGACAACAAAAUAGUCAGGGGUCCAGAGUGAGACCUGAGCUACAGCAAGACCUGGUGGAGCUGGGUUUGUUAUUCUGAAGGGGAGGCCAGAGGGUGACCUGAGAGCUGCCCACAACUACCUGAAGGGCAGUUACAGAGAUGCCAGGACCAAACUCUUGUCAGCAGUGCCAGAAGAUGGAAACAAGGUGCAAAGGCCACAAAUUGUGGCUUGGGACACAGAAGUUGGACAUUAGGGAAAAAAAUCAGUAGGAAGAUAGUGUAGUACUGGAUUAGGUUACCGAAGCAGGUUGAGGAGUCUCUGUCCUUACUGUUUUUCAAGAUUCAGCAACACAAAAUCCAACCUAAUGUUGGUUGUAGUCCUACUUUGGAGGAUGGACUAAAAGACAACAGAAUUCACUUCCAACUAACAUUCCCAUGUUUCUGCGAACUAAAAUUCAGGCUAAUGCAUGUCUUUAACAUUAACUUGGUGAGACCAAUAUAUCCUAAAUUUUGUCUUUCUUUCUUUCUAAACUGGGGGGCUUCAUACAAAAGUGCAAUAGAAGAAAACUAUCAUCUUUUAGGGACUUCUUAAUUCUGCUCCUUCAAAGCGCAAAUGCUGUUCACUCUGCUGCCUGCUGGAGACCCAACACAUUCAAAAAUAGCAUCACAUGGGGUCCCAUCAAAGACUUCUAGCAUCACCAGGUGUCUCCUCAGUAUGAAGAGAUUUCUUGGAACAGCAAAAUAAAGUACCACAAGUUA